GAUAAACGCUGGCGGCAUGCCUAAUACAUGCAAGUGGAACGAGUCAUUUCGGUGAUUCGUCGCGAACGGGUGAGUAACACGUAGAUAACCUACCCAAUAGAGGGGGAUAACCAUUGGAAACGAUGGAUAAUAUCGCAUGAUAUAGUCAGAAAAGGAGCAAUCUGCUGAUAGAUGGGCUUGCGUCUGAUUAGCUAGUUGGUGGGGUAACGGCCUACCAAGGCGACGAUCAGUAGCCGAGCUGAGAGGCUGGCCGGCCACAUUGGGACUGAGACACGGCCCAAACUCCUACGGGAGGCAGCAGUGGGGAAUAUUGCACAAUGGGGGAAACCCUGAUGCAGCGACGCCGCGUGAACGAAGAAGUAUUUCGGUAUGUAAAGUUCUAUCAGCAGGGAAGAUAAUGACGGUACCUGACUAAGAAGCACCGGCUAAAUACGUG
rnacentral:rRNA from 1 species